UACGAAGGGGGCUAGCGUUGCUCGGAAUCACUGGGCGUAAAGCGCACGUAGGCGGCUUCUUAAGUCAGGGGUGAAAUCCUGGAGCUCAACUCCAGAACUGCCUUUGAUACUGAGGAGCUUGAGUCCGGGAGAGGUGAGUGGAACUGCGAGUGUAGAGGUGAAAUUCGUAGAUAUUCGCAAGAACACCAGUGGCGAAGGCGGACUCGCUGGGACGUGACUGACGC
rnacentral:rRNA from 1 species